rnacentral:tRNA from 1 species
CCUCUUUGAGAAACCAGUAUAAUACUUCAGUAUUAUUAGAGCCUAGCACCUCCUCAAAGCCU